UGGAUCAGUGGUGCCAAAUACUUCCUUGU
rnacentral:piRNA from 1 species